AGUUGGUCGGUCUGGUCUGUGCUGGUUUGGGAAACGGUAAGGAGAACAGUCACAGGCUCGGAAAAUCCCAUUUCUAAAGCUCAACCUCAGCCUCAGAUGGGAAGUAGGGUUCCAGUUCAACAAUAUAAUCUGAGAUCAGCUGAUUCAUAUAUAGACCAUCCUGAUGAUACUUCUUCUUUACAUGAUGAUCUCAAUACUGUUGAUGGACGUUCCGGUGAGAUUAUCGAACCCAUGGUUGACCGCGAUACUAUUACCGAUGAUAACCUAGACAAUGAAGUUGACUCUGCUACUGCUGAACGUAUGCACGAAAGCUACCAGAAUACUAUGCCACUUCAUAAUGUAGGGGUGGAUGGAGGUCAUUCGAGCCUUCUUACUAACGGGCCUUUGAUAAAUGAUAUUUCACCGAUAGAAACUGCAAAAGCAAGAUUUAUGGAUUUCAUUGUCGAUAAUUUCAUUAGCACUCAUGUAGUUGAAGCUACUGAGUCUGAGACUGAUGGUAUAUCACAACCCAUGGAAGAGAAAGUUUGCAAGAGGAAAGGACAAGAUGUUCGAUAUGAAGGCGAUCCGCAGUUUGUCCUGCCAUUGAUGUAUGUGGCAAAUAUGUAUGACACUUUGGUUAAUGAAGUAAAUGUGAGACUUCUUACAUUGAAUGGCUGGCGUGAAAAAUCAUUUGGAGUAGGACUUGAAGCUGCAGGUGGUUUGUAUAGGAAACUUGCAAAAAAAUUUCCAAAAAAAGGCUCAUGUUCAUUCAAAAGACGGGAACUAGCAACGUCUUUUGAAACAAGGUCUAGAUUUCCUGAACUAGUGAUACAGGAGGAGAAGCGAAUUCGAUUUAUUGUGGUCAAUGGUUUGGCUAUUAUCGAGAAACCGACUAUUGCAAAUAUAGAUGAUGCAGAGUGGUUCAAGAGGUUGACUGGUCGAGGUGAUGUAACUGUCUCUCCUUGUGACUACAAGUUUUAUGCUCCGAGACACAAGUAUAGGCGUUCUGGAUCAACCUCUGGUUCAAGUGUUCCUGGUUUUCCUACUUUCCCUGAUGCUGAUAAUUCUUCUCCGAUGUCAAUAAAUCAAGGAUAUCGGUCUCUUACUGAACAGCAGACAUUAUCAAAACAGCAUAUUCCAAGUCUUCCACACCAAGGUCAAUUUGAUAUUGUGAACCAGAACCAUCAAUCUAUGAGUCACGGUCAAAGUGGUCAGUAUUCUCAUCACAACCAAUGUGGUUCGUCGUCACACCUUCCUGAAAUUGGGCACACUCAGGGUUCUGCUUCCCUUUCUCAACAGAUGGCUUGUUUACAACCACUCAGUCACCUUGGAGGGCGCUUGCAUGUACUGCCAACAAGCCUUGCUAAGUUCUGUGAUGAAUGUGGUACUCCGUAUAUGCGUGAGACUUCCAAGUUCUGCUCAGAAUGUGGUACAAAGAGGCUAGGAAUAUGAUGAGCUACAUUUGUGUAUGUCUGUUCUAUCAGUUUAUUUAUACAACCAUUGGGAGGCUAAACCAUAUAUGGUAACAGAGUUUGUAUGUAUAGUUGUAUAAUUGUGAUAGAUCUGAGUAGUGGGUUUUAAGCUUGUAAUCUUUUGUUGUGUUCCAUCUCGAGUUAUUUGGUAGGAACUAUAAAUAUUUGAACACGAGAUGCUUAAAGGAUUAAAUGACCGAGAUUGGUCCACCCUGUAACUGCCUUAGAAAACCCUGAACAUGGAGAAUAGGUCUCUGUUAUAGACCUGCUGGCUAAAAUUAGUUUGCAGUUUUAAAUUAUUCAAGAAUUUCAUUUUGACUUCUUUGAACCUAGAUUUUUUGAAGGUCAUUACUACAAUUCUGUAAUUCUCAAAUUAUAAAACUUGCUAGGGGUACUUUUUAAUUAUGAUUUGUUUAUAAGUAUCAUUAUUAUCAUCAUAAUAUAAGUAUUCAAUAUAAAGGCACAAUAUGAUUUGGGCCAACCUGCCAUAUGAUAGUUAUUGAGAAAUUAUUAAUCCUUCUAACCAAAUAGCCUAAGAGUCCUCCUAAUCAUAAGAUGAUGACAAGUGGUAAAAUCAAAAGAUAAGAUCAGAAAAGAGAAUUAGUGGAAUCCACAUAUCACCAUUUUAUAGUUUUAGGAGGAUUAUAUGUGUUCUGUAUUAGUUAAAUUUGGCAACUCAGUACAACUGAGUUGUCAUGAAUAAAGUGCAUUUGGGCCAAUCUAUCACACAAUGACCGUUGAUUGACCUUGAAAUUUGCAGUACCCCCAAGCCCGAACCCAGAGACACCUUGAACCAGCUACCCAUAACACGUUUCCAGUAGUCCAUUCCUUCUUAACAUGAGGGAACAAGUUAAUUGAUUCCCGAUGGCCUGAUGUUGUUAAGAACCUUCCGCUCUCAUUCAGAAAUAACUUUUAACACCAUUGAAAAAGUAAAAGCUGAUCUGGUGAUAAGGAUUAUAGACGCUGCGACUGAGAUUAAAGGUGUGUUUGACUCACUCUUUGCUACCUUUGUGGUUAAAGAUACAAACGUUUUAGACCACGAACAUCGUUUAGAGCGUGAUAAUGUUAUACAAAAGAUCCGGGACAUUAAAAGAGGACAUUUUAGAAUAAUACAUCAGUAGUACCAAAAGAAGAUAAGAGUGUUGGGUUUGAUUUAAAGGUACGAGAAUUACUUGAUAGACUUGUAGGAGAUCAAAAGCGACUAGAUGUUAUCUCUAGCGUUGGCAUGGGAGGACUUGGUAAGACGACUCUUGCUAAGAGACUUUAUUAUGAAACUUAUGUAGUAUGCCACUUUUAUAAUCGUGGUUGGGUUAUGGUUUGUCAAACGUAUCAGAAGAGGGAUUUGUUGCCUAGCAUAUGCAGUUUUCUUUCGGUCAUGGAUAAAGAUGAAGGCAUGAGCACUGAAAAGUUGCAUGAAGUACAAAUGGUCAAAGGGAAGCGUUAUCUUAUUCUCAUUGAUGAUAUAUGAGAUGUAGAGGUUUGGAACGAUGUAAGGAUCUGUUUGCCCGGUGAUGACCUUGGAUGCAGAGUUUUGUUAACUAGCCAACUAAUGAAUGCGGCCUUGGAUAUGAAACCAGACAGUUCGUCUCAUUUGCUUUGUUUUUUAACUGAGAGAAGUUGGGAUCUAUUGCAACAAAACGUGUUUGCAGAAGAUAAAACUUGCCCUAAAUAUCAAAAGCAAACUGGAAAGCAUAUUGCUGGACGAUGUUGUGGGCUUGCCCUCGAGAAUUUGUGAUAUCCGGGCUUCUUGCAAAGACAGAUAAAUCAGUUGAAUUUGGGACUCGAGUUUUAUUUCAAGUUCGAGUUACAGGACUGUAAAAGUGAACACCAUUACGCCAAAGCGAUAGGAGGAGAUAUGUAUAUAUUGCAAUCUCUUGGUUAUAUUACUUGCAGGAUGGCUACAAAUUACUGUACAAUGAGUCGAUCUUAUUAAAUCAUCAUAUCAAGAGAUGGAGGUACUGCUAUUUCAUGGCGUUCUCAAAAGCAAACAUUCGUUGCAACAUCGUCAAACCAUGCCGAAAUCAUUGCACUCCAUCGUCAAACUAAUUUUGUAUUAUUGUGGGCUGGAAUAUGAAAAAGUCCCAACUCCUAUUUACAAGAUAAUGCAGCUUGUGUCGCAUAGAUGAAAGAAGGAUACAUCAAGAGUGACAUAACAAAACAUAUACCUCCAAGUUUUUUCUCA